rnacentral:lncRNA from 1 species
GCCCUGUCCAAGUCUGGAAAGCUUCGGUCGCAGAGGCGCAGCGCGCACGCGCAGAAGGGCUGCGGCGGACCCGCCCUCGUCACGUGCCGCUCAGCGUGCGCCCAGACAUGUGCAGACACACGUGACUGUGCCGCGUCCGGCUGCAGCCCGCUCACCCCGCGCGGCUGUACUUUGAACCCGGGCGUGGGAGACCGGAGGAGGGAGGGGCGGGAAGGGGGAGGCCGGCCUCCGGGAGGGUGAUGUCAUCCGCAGCUUUAUCGCUAGGCAACCGCAGAAGGCUUCUGUCUCCCGCCCUGGAGCUCCUUGGGGCUCUCCAGGCUGAUAACAUCACCCCGCCCUCCGUUCCCUCACCCGGAGGCGCUCAAACGGCGGCGAUUGAAGAAGCCAGGGUUGGUUUAUCAGUUUUUAAAUGCGGUUUUUCUGGAACCUGUGGGUAGUUGGGGCUCCAGAACUUGGAUCCAGGUUGGCCUUGUGAAAGCUGAUUCUCCAGUCACAGCGGGGAAGCUGGAAAGCCGCACAUGGAAGCAGAAUUUAUUACAGAACUCUGGCGGAUACUCAGUACCUCUCUUCAGCACAUAAUAUUCUCUGUGCACACCCAUAUGGGAAAGGUUCCAAAUUUGAAACCCUACCUAAAGUUCACAACGCCCUAAAAAUACACUAUAUAAAAACUGUAGCGCGUGACCCUCUUUCCUACUUACCCAAUUCUACAGGUUUCCUCUUUCCAGCUUCCCAGGUCGUUUGGCCCCAGAUACCUUGUUUUAUGGGGAAACUACAGCUCAAGGAUGACCACACAAGGACAGAGGAUUGGGGCAGAGGGUGGAGAUGUCUCCCCCAAAUCAUCCCAGGACUGUGAAAUCGAGAGGGUGAAUUUCUGAAUGUCGUCAAAGUGAAUAACCAGCAAAAUAAUAUGGUCCUUCGUAGAGGACUGAAAAUUACUUCCCCAGAAUGCCAUAUCUUUUAUGAUUAUCGAAUGUUCUGUGUCUAAUUUAGAAAGAUUAUUUCCAUGAUAAUCUUUCCACUUCCACCAGUAACUGCUCUGGGUUUUAGGUUCUUAUAUGGGCUAGUUCGAUUCAUUCCAGGAGGAAACCGCAGCAGGUCCCCUCCUCCUUACUAAAACUCUUGUAAUAAUAUAGAGCAGUAGACUGAGAACUGACAAAACUGAUUCCAGUUUUGGUUCUGUACUGAACGCUAUGACCUUGCCUCAGCUUCCUCCCAGUGGUUUGUGAAAAACAGGCCUUAGCAUGCCUUGUUUCCCCUUGGGUUGCUUAGUGGAGAGCAUGGUCAUCACUUGGCUUCGGUUGUAGAACACACGCAUAGAGGAGGUAGGCAGCUGCUUGUCAAGUAUCCUGCUGACCAAGCUCCCCGUGCAGAAGAUACUGUUAUCAUGGGGUGAAUGCUACCGUAUCAACAUUUACAGCAGGAAGCGGCCUGAGUCCCCAGUCCCAGUCCACUGUUCAGAUCCACGGGAGCAGAUGGUGGUGAGAGGCAGUAGGGCAGGAAAAUUCUAAAGAGAUGGAGAAAUUAGGAGAUCCACGAUCAGACCACAGACCAAAUGUAACAGAUUAAGCAAACUCGCCGGCAGUUUAGUUCAGAACACACCUGAGCCUUCUCCUUGGACUUUACCUCUUGCACUCCUUGUCCUGUUCAUUUUGUAAAUCCAUCCUCUUCUCUGGGCUUUCUCCAAAUCCACCUAGUGGAAGCUGGCAGCCUCAGU